rnacentral:rRNA from 1 species
UACGUAGGGUGCGAGCGUUGUCCGGAUUUAUUGGGCGUAAAGAGCUCGUAGGCGGUUUGUCGCGUCGGCCGUGAAAAUCUCCACGCUUAACGUGGAGCGUGCGGUCGAUACGGGCAGACUUGAGUUCGGUGAGGGGAGGACUGGAAUUCCUGGAUGUAGCGGUGAAAUGACGCAGAUAUCAGGAGGAACACCGGUGGCGAAGGCGGGUCUCUGGGCCGAUAACUGACGUGGAGGAAGCGAAAAGCGUGGGG